rnacentral:pre_miRNA from 9 species
GCCUGAUAGCGUAAAAGUUGACUAAAAUUUUAUGGAUUUGGAACGUUUGCCUACGUUUGCCGUUAGGGGCGCUGUUCUAACUGCAUACAAAUUUAAGUUAACUUUUACGCUAUCGA